AUACGGAGGGGGCUAGCGUUGUUCGGAAUUACUGGGCGUAAAGGGCACGUAGGCGGCGCGUUGCGUCAGGCGUGAAAGCCCCGGGCUCAACCUGGGAAUUGCGCUUGAUACGGGCGUGCUUGAGACCGGGAGAGGAGAGUGGAAUUCCCAGUGUAGAGGUGAAAUUCGUAGAUAUUGGGAAGAACACCAGUGGCGAAAGCGGCUCUCUGGGGAUGUUCUGACGCUGAGGCGCGAAAGCGUGGGGAGCGAACCGGAUUAGAAACCCGAGUAGUCC
rnacentral:rRNA from 1 species